rnacentral:rRNA from 1 species
UGGGGAAUAUUGCACAAUGGGGGAAACCCUGAUGCAGCGACGCCGCGUGAGCGAAGAAGGUUUUCGAAUCGUAAAGUUCUUUUAUAUGGGAAGAUAAUGACGGUACCAUAAGAAAAAGCCCCGGCUAACUACGUGCCAGCAGCCGCGGUAAUACGUAGGGGGCUAGCGUUGUCCGGAAUCACUGGGCGUAAAGGGUUCGCAGGCGGAAAUGCAAGUCAGGUGUAAAAGGCAGUAGCUUAACUACUGUAAGCAUUUGAAACUGCAUAUCUUGAGAAGAGUAGAGGUAAGUGGAAUUUUUAGUGUAGCGGUGAAAUGCGUAGAUAUUAAAAAGAAUACCGGUGGCGAAGGCGACUUACUGGGCUCAUUCUGACGCUGAGGAACGAAAGCGUGGGUAGCAAACAGG